AUGGCAAUGCCAGAUCCAAGCCUCACCUGCGACCUACACCACAGCUUACAGCAACACUGGAUCCUUAAGCCACUGAGCGAAGCCAGGGAUCAAGCCUGCAUCCUCAUGGAUACUAGUCAGAUUCAUUUCUGCUGCACCACAACGGGAACUCCCUGAGCUGCUUUUUAAACCACUGAUAGCGUGAAACCUGUUAGGGUGGGAAUAUUUACACCAUGGAAACUGGCACACUCUUCAAAUCAGGGCACUUUUUUUUUUUUUUUUAAGGAGCCUGUUUACCAAGAUAUACAUGGCUUCUUGCAAAGCCAUUCUUUUUGUUGGAAAAACUCUUCCAGGGAUAAUGUCAGUUUCAUAUAUGGGAAGAACAUAGCCCUCUGGAACCCUAGACAGCCAUGAGGACUCAAAAAAAAACCAAUGUUGAUAGAAACGUUGACCAGGAGGGAGAGACACCAGAAUACAGGCACACAGAGAAGAGGCCACCUGAGGACACAGCCAGAAGGCGCCCGUCUGUAGUUCUUGCCAGACAUCUACCCUGCCAGCACCUUGCUCUUAGACGUCCAGCCUCCAGAACUGUGAGAAUAUAAAUUUCUGUAUUUAACCCACCCAGGCCUUGGUACUUCUGUUUUGGCAACUCUCGCUGACUCAUAUAAUCUACAACGCUUGUCGAUUUCUUAUUUUCUGCUUUUGUCCGUUUCUUGAUCAAUUCUGCAGAAUGAGACACCGUCC
rnacentral:lncRNA from 1 species